UAUUGUUGCAUAUUAACUUAACUUAACUGAGUUAAAAUAAAUCAUUAACUUUCUCAGCCUUUUUAUUAUAUAAAUUCGGCGACAACGCCCGGAAGACAGAAAUAAACGCACCGCCCCAAGUCUAACAGCCACCCCCCCCCCUUGUGGGGGCCCUGGCUGUAGAUAAUAUCGACAGCCACGAUUAAACACAAAUGGAAUUGCGUGGAAGCCCGUUUUCGACACGUAGAUACGUAGUCAACCGACAAAGUAGCGAGGCCAAUUUAACUACCGUCAACGAGGCACUCAACUAUAGUGUUUAUUUUGAAAUGAUGAACCCUAUAUUGGUUCAGUGCCUUGAGCUGAAUCAGAUUAGGAACGGUUAAAACAUGUACAUACAUCAUGCAGAGAGGUUUGGACUCCCUCCUCGCACUGAAACGUACUAGGAUCGGGAAAUACGCCACCCGGUGAAUAAAUCAUGGUCACCAUUACUGUUUUCACGCGUUAUUCAUUGCUCACACCACACGCUUAGACUGCAAGUAUUACACGGUCGGAUCAUCGUUUUUACACAUUUGAAACGUUCAGGAAACUAUUGAUCUGAACCUGUCUUGGCAAACGGAUUUAUUGUACAACCUGGAUGAUGAAUUUUGAGGCAAACGCGAUCAGUAGAUCCGGUAGACGGGAUUUUCCACCAGACUUCCAAUUACCAGAGCAACCGUCAUCCAGAUUCAUCGACAGGUUUAUCCGUUUGAAAACUACAUAUUGGAACAGAGGAUACGCAGUAGUUUUGUUUGGACUUAUAGGUAAAUUGUAGUGUAUAAUGUCGAUAAGAAUUUAUCCCAUCACUGGACGAUUUGAAUGUACAAUUUAAUACUUAAUAAAAUAAAGCUUUGUGUUACCUACCGAAAUUCCGGUAACGUUCAGUUCUCUUCAAC